rnacentral:rRNA from 1 species
UACAGAGGAGCCAAGCGUUGUCCGGAUUGACUGGGCGUAAAGCGCACGCAGGCGGAUGUGCGCGUGGGGUGUGAAAUCUGGCCGCUUAACGGCCAGGCGCCAUCCCAUACGGCACGUCUGGAGGGCUGCAGAGGUCGAUGGAAUUGCCGGUGUAGUGGUGAAAUGCGUAGAUAUCGGGAGGAACACCUGUGGCGAAGGCGGCCCCCUGGUUGGAUACUGACGCUGAUACGCGAAAGCGUGGGGAGCAAACAGG